UCUGGUCCACCCACCCGUGGCGAACGAAACCCUACCUCUUUCUCCCCUCCCACACCAGCCGCCGCCGCCGCUCGCCGUUCUCCCCGCGAGGAGAGAACCUCGACCACAGCCGUGCCUGUUAGAUUACCCUCGCGAGACAGAUCCCCUCCUCUCCUCUGGCUCCAUGUCGCUGCCGCUCACCGCCACUCCCAUUGUUACCCGCAGCGACAGCUCCACCGUGUCCAAUAUGCCGAGAUGGACGGCCUCGGCGGUGGCGGCGCGCGUCCUGUGGUGUACCAAUUCUUGGCGGUGCCGCCGGAUCUUAUCGCAGAAGAUGACCUCGGGCGUCCCCUUGCUAUGCCAACCUCCCCACCGUCUCGAGCUGGCCACAUCCAUCUUCUCCAGACGGCAUCAGAUCCGUGCUUCCCGCCUCGCCCCGGCUCCGUGAACUGGUGACUUCACCAAGUCCGUGCGGCGCGAGUCAGACGGCACCAGAUCGAGACGAUGCCGGAUUCGGGUAUGUAGCCAAAGCCUUCACUGGAGCAUGGUUGGGACGGGUCAGAGAUGGAGCACCGCAUGUAUCCGUCGUCUCUGAAUUCGCUUACGACGGACGGCUACGAAGCCACGACGAAGUUGCUGAUAGGCGCGGCCUGUAGCCGGAGCCUGUCACGGUGCAAUCAGUUUGGCUAUGGUAUUCGAUCCGGGGUGGUCAUGCUGGUUUUGCAGAUCGGUGGAUGGAUGGCCUGCUGGAUUCAGAGAUCGGCAAGAACGACUACGACUGGGACAAACUAUUAAGAAAGCUUGUGGAAAGUUGAAGCUAGUCGUGAUUGGGAAGUGACAAUUUGAACCAGAUGAUGCCAAGCCCAACAACUGAGAUGUAAAUCAUUUCUUU